CCUACGGGAGGCAGCAGUGAGGAAUAUUGGUCAAUGGGCGCGAGCCUGAACCAGCCAAGUCGCGUGAGGGAGGACGGCCCUACGGGUUGUAAACCUCUUUUGCCGGGGAGCAACGGGCGCCACGUGUGGCGUCACUGAGAGUACCCGGAGAAAAAGCAUCGGCUAACUCCGUGCCAGCAGCCGCGGUAAUACGGAGGAUGCGAGCGUUAUCCGGAUUUAUUGGGUUUAAAGGGUGCGGAGGGGGAGCGUUAAGUCAGUGGUAAAAUUGAGGGGCUCACCCCCUUCCCGCCAUUGAAACUGGCGUUCUUGAGUGGAAGAGAAGUAGGCGGAAUGCGUGGUGUAGCGGUGAAAUGCAUAGAUAUCACGCAGAACACCGAUUGCGAAGGCAGCAUGCCGGCCUCCGACUGACGCUGAAGCACGAAAGCGUGGGGAUCGAACAGGAUUAGAUACCCCUGUAGUC
rnacentral:rRNA from 1 species